rnacentral:tmRNA from 1 species
CUGGUAUACGGCGUUCAGCAUAGAGGCAUCGUAAAAGUAAACCUAGAGAUGAUAAUGCUUUGGUAUCUUCUCGAAAUUAAAAAGCUAAGUUAUAAGUAUGCAGUUUUCAGUGAGCUUAUGAUCGAAAACCAAAUGUAAACUAAGCAUGUAGAAAGCUCAUUUGUAGCUUGUUUGGACGCGGGUUCGAGUCCCGCCGACUCCACAA